ensembl:lncRNA
GUCUGAAUUGCUCUCAGCUGAUAGCAGUUGAGACGCUGAUCAUGUCGGCAUAUAUAGCGCGUGCCUCCCAGCACACAAGGCGGAAGAGUAGUAAGUAGUAAGUAUAAGUAGUAAGUAGUAAGUAGUAAGUAGUAAGUAGUAAGUAGUAAGUAGUAAGUAGUAAGUAGUAAGUAGUAAGUAGUAAGUAAAUGGUUAGAGUUAGUAGCGUAUUCAUAGUCACGGCUCAUGUUAGUUUAGUUUGCGUCACAGUCAUAGUCAAGUCAAUGUUUAAAGUUAGUUCAUGCUGGAUUAUCCGGUUCCAGUUCCUCGUCCUAGUUCGUGUCUUGUUUUGUUAAUCGACCUAGAUUCCUGCCUAACUCCGUGUAUGCCUGUUUGCCAAUCGCCUGACCUCUUGAAUGUUUAUGGAUUACGUUUUGGAUCACGUUUUGGAUUUGUCUGCCUGCCUGUCUCUACAAAUAAACAACUGUUAUCCUGCACUUGCAUCCGCCUUAUCUCUGCUCCGUCACGAUUUGUGACAGAAUCUUCCACCGAAACAUGGAUGCAGCAGGAGAACGGAGGAGACGCAGAACCCGGAAGUCGACGCCAACCGUCCCUGCUAUGGAUUCAGUCCACUUCCCACAAUGGACAAUUAUGGAGCUUCCUGAUCCAUUUGACGGAUUUUUCGGUGCCCCAGAGUAUUUCCUGGUAGAUUGUCAAUUCUAUUUCUCCAGCCUGUCAGACCCUAAGCCAGAGGAGAAGCACUGGCUCCGAUUCAUGUGGUCCCGGUUCUUUGGACCGGCCCGUCAAUGGGUGCAGUUCAAACUGGAUAAGCACUGUAGGAACCUGGACAGUGUGGAACAGUUUGUGGGGGAAUUCAUGAUGCGAUUCGGGAGUCUGGAGGCGAAGGAGGAGCUAGAACAACUUCUCAGGGGGGUAAGUCUGGAAGGCGAACCUGCCCUGCCGUUUACCCACUACUACAGGCAACGUCAAGCAGAGCUCAACUCUGAAAUCCAAGUCAAGCCUCCAGUCCCUGAGAUCCAAGUCAAGCCUCAAGUCAGGAAGGUCCAAGUCCCAGUCAAGCCUCAAGUCCCUGAGGUCCAAGCCCAGCCUCAAGUCCCUGACGCCCAAGCCCAGCCUCAAGUCCCUGACGCCCAAGCCCAGCCUCAAGUCCCUG